rnacentral:sRNA from 1 species
AAAAAAGAUUAGAAAAUUGUCUAAAUUGAAACUCACCAAUUAAAGAAAACAAUCAAACAGAGCAUCAUAGUGUAAAACAGAGCGUAGAGUGAUGUCAAAAACAAGAAGAAAAAAAACAACAAUCGUCAACCAUAUCCACUAACGCUGUUGCCUGUUGCUGCUUAAUUAGGAAUGAUCGGCCAAUUCUUUCCACGAAUAUAAGGAAUUGAAGGCAAUAAAAGUGACGGAGUUUUACCUUUAGGUAACGAAGACACUUUAUCUCCCAACUCACUUGCCUUAAGAAUAAUAAUUACAUAAUUGUAUCAACUAAAU